GCACGGUGAUGGAUUUAUGGUGCCCCUUUCUGCGUGGGCCUUUCAGAGUGUACCGUGAGAGAGCAAAGUACAGCCUUGAACCAUUGCCCAGCCUUGCUGCUGUGGGCUGCAAGCACUGAAGGAGCUUGCACAGAU
ensembl:snoRNA